rnacentral:rRNA from 1 species
GAUGAACGCUGGCGGCGUGCUUAACACAUGCAAGUCGAACGGUGAAGCAGAGCUUGCUCUGUGGAUCAGUGGCGAACGGGUGAGUAACACGUGAGCAACCUGCCCCUGACUCUGGGAUAAGCGCUGGAAACGGCGUCUAAUACUGGAUAUGAGAUGCGACCGCAUGGUCAGCAGUUGGAAAGAUUUUUCGGUCUGGGAUGGGCUCACGGCCUAUCAGCUUGUUGGUGAGGUAAUGGCUCACCAAGGCGUCGACGGGUAGCCGGCCUGAGAGGGUGACCGGCGACACUGGGACUGAAACGCAGCCCAGACGCCUACGGUAGUCAGCAGCGGGGAAUAUUACAACAUGAACGAAAGCCUCAUGCAGCAACGCCGCGUGAUGGAUGAAGGCCUUCGAGUUGUAGUCCUCUUUUAGCAGGGAAGAAGCGACAUUGACGGUACCUGCAGAAAAAGCGCCGGCUAGCUACUUG